AGUGAACGCUGGCGGUAGGCCUAACACAUGCAAGUCGAACGGCAGCACAGUAAGAGCUUGCUCUUACGGGUGGCGAGUGGCGGACGGGUGAGGAAUACAUCGGAAUCUACUUUUUCGUGGGGGAUAACGUAGGGAAACUUACGCUAAUACCGCAUACGACCUACGGGUGAAAGCAGGGGAUCUUCUGACCUUGCGCGAUUGAAUGAGCCGAUGUCGGAUUAGCUAGUUGGCGGGGUAAAGGCCCACCAAGGCGACGAUCCGUAGCUGGUCUGAGAGGAUGAUCAGCCACACUGGAACUGAGACACGGCCCAGACUCCUACGAGAGGCAGCAGUGGGGAAUAUUGGACAAUGGGCGCAAGCCUGAUCCAGCCAUACCGCGUGGGUGAAGAAGGCCUUCGGGUUGUAAAGCCCUUUUGUUGGGAAAGAAAAGCAGCAGGUUAAUACCCCGCUGUUCUGACGGUACCCAAAGAAUAAGCACCGGCUAACUUCGUG
rnacentral:rRNA from 1 species